rnacentral:rRNA from 1 species
CAGUCGCCGCGGUAAUACGGAGGGGGCUAGCGUUGUUCGGAAUUACUGGGCGUAAAGCGCACGUAGGCGGAUCGAUCAGUCAGGGGUGAAAUCCCAGAGCUCAACUCUGGAACUGCCUUUGAUACUGUCGAUCUGGAGUAUGGAAGAGGUGAGUGGAAUUCCGAGUGUAGAGGUGAAAUUCGUAGAUAUUCGGAGGAACACCAGUGGCGAAGGCGGCUCACUGGUCCAUUACUGACGCUGAGGUGCGAAAGCGUGGGGAGCAAACAGGAUUAGAUACCCCUGUAGUCCCUGUCUCUUAUAC